AUUAGAUUUCAGAAGAGUUACAGGGUGUGUUGAGUUGUAGUGUCCCGUCCUCUCGGGUCGUUGGCCUGGGGUAGGAUAAGACAGGGUUAAAGUAGUGGAAUAAGGUGAUGGGUUUUAAUGAGUGUAGGGUGAGUUAAGGGUCAUUAAAUAUAUAUAUAUUUUUGAAUUUUUCACGUUUCCCCUUUACAAUUUUGUAUCACAAAGGUAAUGGAUUCAUACAAUAGUUCAGAGGGCGAUAAUGCAACAUAUUGGAUACCAACCGUCUUUAAACCUCACAGAAGCAGAAGCAGAAGAAGAAGAAUGCACCUGUUCUUUUGUGAUUGCUGCCCUGCCCACUAUUUAACUGGAAGGAGAACUAUUCCACACAAUUGUUUAUUCUUUUUCUUUGGUUGUUUUUUCCCAAAUCUUGGGGGACAAUUGUUGUUGCAACAUGGUUUGGUUUCUGAUUCUCAUCUGGUUUGUCCAAGGUAGGACCAGUCAUUUUGGUUAUGUGACAUCCUGCUCUUGAGUGUUUUCCAUUUGAGGUAGGCCAGGCCGGCCCCACUGCGGACGCCAAUUGGUUCACCAUGUUAUUAUCUAACGUGUAUUAUGUUCCCCUUGUGUAUUUCAGUGGGCGGUGUUCCCAUCACCAAUUUCACAAAUGCUACUACUUCAAAUGCUACUUUCCCUGCCACAGUGGACAAUUCUACAAAUGUGACUUUCACUGCCACAGGUUCUACUGCCUCAAUGGGGCCACAUCACAGACAAAAUGAUUGGGUUAAAAUGGCUGAAACCAGAGAAGGUAACACAUUCAUUAGAUGAAGUGCACUAUCCUGGACCUCUCAUGAGGUUUGGACUUUAUUAAUGGCACUGGAGGUAGUGACUUGUAACCAGGUCAUGUCAGUGUGGUUGUUUCACACCCUCUGUCCCUGUUACAGAGGAC
ensembl:lncRNA